rfam:Gossypium hirsutum cultivar TM-1 chromosome 20, whole genome shotgun sequence
UAUUAAAAAUUCCAUCCAUUUGUAUUGUUAAAAUUUGACGUGGUUGAUGAAAUAACUAAAUAGUGGCAUAUGACGUGCCACAUGUACCUCAUGCUGAUGUACAGUGACUAAUUUUUAACAGCAGAAAUGCAUGAAAAAUUUUAAUA